GGUGCCAGCCAACUGUGGCUGCCUGGGACACUCCAUCUUAAGUCCCUGUGCCUCUGCUGUGUGUUACUGAGUGCCUAGGCCGUGCCAGCCUGUAUUCAUCUGUACUAUGACCUGAAGAGGCAGAGGCCAUCACUGUUGGUCCGGUCUCCACCUGGGGAAACUGAGGUUGCACAGUGUCUCUGUGGUGACGAGCAGGGCUUCAUCCAGUGCCUCUGUCCCCACCGAGGGGACUAUGGGAGACAUGGAGGGUGUGUGAGCAACAGGUGAGACUGGAGCCAGCUGAAAACUGGGAGACCGACCCAGCCAACAAACAAUGUCGGUCUCUGUCUUGGCACCUGCAGGAAACAAGCUCCUACUUCCAGAAAAAGUGCUCCUGGGACUCCAGGAUACCAGGCAUCUGGACGCGGUGGUACAUGCCUGUAAUCCCAACACUUAGGCAGGAGGAUCACUCGAGCCCAGAAGAUCAAGACUAGUGUGAGCAACAAAGUGAGUUUCCCCCCACCCCUCACCUCAACAAAACAUUUAAAAAUUAGCUGGAC
rnacentral:lncRNA from 1 species